GCCAGUUCUUGUACGAUCACUGAAGUUAAGUAACGUUGAGCCUGGUAAAUACCUUGAUGGGUGACCACUUGGGAAUACCAGGUGCUGUAAG